rnacentral:rRNA from 1 species
CCUACGGGAGGCAGCAGUAGGGAAUAUUGCGCAAUGGGCGAAACCCUGAAGCAGCAACGCCGCGUGGAGGAUGAAGGUCUUCGGAUCGUAAACUUCUUUUGUCAGAGAAGAUUAUGACCGUAUCUAAUGAAUAAGCACCUGCGAAUUCCGUGCCAGCAGCCGCGGUAAUACGGAGGGUGCAAGCGUUACUUGGAAUCACUGGGCGUAACGAGUGCGUAGGCGGGGUAAUAAGUCAGAUGUGAAAGCCUGUAGCUUAACGACAGAACUGCAUUUGAAACUGGUACUCUGGAGUGUGGGAGAGGUUGGUGGAAUUCUUGGUGUAGGGGUAAAAUCCGUAGAGAUCAAGAGGAAUACUAAUGGCGAAGGCGACCUGCUGGAACAUUACUGACGCUGAUGCACGAAAGCGUGGGGAGCAAACAGGAUUAGAUACCCUAGUAGUC